GCAGAGCACCAUAAUUUGUACACAAAAUGCCAAGAAGCAAAAAAGGAGAGGCAAGGCCGGUGUACAAUGGGGCAAAUCGAACAAUUAUCUCCCAAACAAGUAAGAAAGCUGUACUACUACUACUUAAAGCGUAAGUGACUUAUUUUCUUUAUUACAUUUAAAUUUAAAAAAUCUUAAACCGACGUACAAAAAGAAAAAUAAUUAAUAAAAAGACUAACAACAUUAAUGCAGGGACUGCAGUUGCAGUUUGUAAUUGGAUAAUUAAGAAUCGAUUCAUUCGGACAACAUAAAAGAAAACUAACAGGAGAAAUGGGAAAAUCUCUCUUGUUUUCAAUAUUUAAGGAAGCUUUUUUUUCGUAUAUUUUUUAUUAUGAAUGUCCAAGAUAUUAUGAAUACUUUGCCUAAGUUUCACAUCGAUCAUAAACAAAACUGACGAAGUUAUGCGUAGUAUCUAAAAGUUUAAAGCGCUCUCCUGAAAAGAUCCAUUUUGAAAGUUGGUGUACACGAUAGCCUAAAAUCUACUAUCGUUUUGAAAUUUGGAACAUUCAUUCCAAAGUAACUUAAUUUUUGAGUCAAAAAUCGAGAUUUUAACUUCCUAUUUUGAUAAAAGAAUUCAAUUAUUUUUGUUGAUAUCGGAUGAAUCAGUGGACAGUUGGAAUGUACACCACAAACCAAAUUUUUUGGAGGGUACUUGGGAGAUUUCCUAUUACGCAUAUACCUUUAAAUAUUUAUUAAUACAAUAUUAAACACAAAAUGGUAUUUAAUUGAAUAAGCUAACUUUGUAAUUAUCUUCAAAACGAACAAUUGUCCAAAAUCUUAGCACCAAUUAUAACCAAGAGCUAUAAGUUUCAAACUUUGUAAAGUUUAAAUAAUGUGUUUAGUUUAAUUGCGUACAAAUGUCGCCUUUGGCAUCAGAGAAUUGUCCAGAACAGACGGACAUGGCUAGAUCGACUCGGCUGUUGAUGCUGAUCAAGAAUAUGUAUACUUUAUAGGAUUGGUAUAAAAACAAUACAAUUAGAAUGCAUGUUGCCACUUAAUUGGGAGACUAUUGAUUUUAAUGUCUCUGACAUAUAUUUGUCAGAUUUCAAAUCUGUUAAUAUAUUUGCGAUACAAAAUCGUGGACGUAUGCCACAGUGCAGAGAUCGAUAAAUUAAUAUAGUGAGAGGAAAACCCCCGACGCAUGUGGAAAUGCAGGGAGAAAAGCCAAGAGGCCAGCAAAAUACGCGACGAGAGAAAAAGGUAACGAGAAAUAGGAGGAAUGAUAGCAAGAGGAGACAAGCAAUAAAUGGGACCACGACCGAAACAAUGCUGUUUUCCACGUUCGAAGCGCAGCAGACACGUUGCACUCCCAAACAUAUUGCAAAUACUCAGUGUCCUCCGAUCAGCUAUCCCGCCUCUCUCCCGCAAACGCCAGGACAGGGCUG